ensembl:lncRNA novel transcript
AAGUACCCAGGGACACAAAAACUGCGGAAGGCCGCAGGGACCUCUGCCUAGGAAAGCCAGGGUGAAGGUACGCUCGAGCGUGGUCAUUGAGGACAAGUCGACGAGAGAUCCCGAGUACAUCUACAGUCAGCCUUACGUCUGCAGGUGUACCCAACAGCUCCGAAGAGACAGCGACCAUCGAGAACGGGCCAUGAUGAUGAUGGCGGUUUUGUCGAAAAGAAAAGGGGGAAAUGUGGGGAAAAGCAAGAGAGAUCAAAUUGUUACUGUGUCUGUGUAGAAAGAAGUAGACAUAGGAGACUCCAUUUUGUUAUGUGCUAAGAAAAAUUCUUCUGCCUUGAGAUUCUGUUAAUCUAUGACCUUACCCCAAACCCCGUGCUCUCUGAAACGUGUGCUGUGUCAACUCAGGGUUGAAUGGAUUAAGGGCGGUGCAGGAUGUGCUUUGUUAAACAGAUGCUUGAAGGCAGCAUGCUCCUUAAGAGUCAUCACCACUCCCUAAUCUCAAGUACCCAGGGACACAAAAACUGCGGAAGGCCGCAGGGACCUCUGCCUAGGAAAGCCAGGUAUUGUCCAAGGUUUCUCCCCAUGUGAUAGUCUGAAAUAUGGCCUCGUGGGAAGGGAAAGACCUGACCGUCCCCCAGCCCGACACCUGUAAAGGGUCUGUGCUGAGGAGGAUUAGUAAAAGAGGAAGGAAUGCCUCUUGCAGUUGAGACAAGAGGAAGGCAUCUGUCUCCUGCCUGUCCCUGGGCAAUGGAAUGUCUCGGUAUAAAACCCGAUUGUAUGCUCCAUCUACUGAGAUAGGGAAAAACCGCCUUAGGGCUGGAGGUGGGACCUGCGGGCAGCAAUACUGCUUUGUAAAGCAUUGAGAUGUUUAUGUGUAUGCAUAUCCAAAAGCACAGCACUUAAUCCUUUACAUUGUCUAUGAUGCCAAGACCUUUGUUCACGUGUUUGUCUGCUGACCCUCUCCCCACAAUUGUCUUGUGACCCUGACACAUCCCCCUCUUUGAGAAACACCCACAGAUGAUCAAUAAAUACUAAGGGAACUCAGAGGCUGGCGGGAUCCUCCAUAUGCUGAACGCUGGUUCCCCGGGUCCCCUUAUUUCUUUCUCUAUA